rnacentral:lncRNA from 1 species
UUGGAAUACAGUGAAUCAGAUAAGCUGAAAAACUUCAGGGGCAAGCGAUGUUGAGAGGAGGCGCUGCAAAGGCAAACUUCAUAUCAUCAUGCUCAAGUUCCACAUCUGUGAAGUCACAGUCAGGUAGCUCACUUGGUAAGCUGACGUUAUUAACAUUAUCAACCACAGAGAAAUCAUCAAACAGAUGAUCAUAGUCCUCGUCCUUGAAAAAAUAAUCAAAGUCCAUCUCCCCAGCAGCCUUUGCGCCAGACUUCUCUUCUGCUGCUAAGAAGCUCAGAUCAGGGAUCUCCAGCUCAGAAAGGUCGAAACCUUCCUUGGUCAAAUCACCAGAAGCAGCAACAUCUUUCCUCAGAGACACCUUUUCUUUAGAAGCAGCAGAACGCAAGCACUGGCUGUUCGCUGACGCAACCGACGCAUCAAACUCAACCUUCUUGUCAGCAUAAGCCUUCCCAGCUUCUUCAAGGGUUGCAUAAGUACCCAACCACACCUUAGUUUUGGUAAGUGGGUUUCUAAUCUCAGCAGCCCAUUUGCCUGAUUGCCUCAGCCUAACUCCCACUGGCUUGUUAACUUGCAUACGUCUAGAGUUUUUGUGAUACUGAGAACUCUCAGAGAGCAGAAAGGGGAGGUUAAUCUCAUGGACAAUGCGCUUCACCUUAGGAGGCUUACACUCGAACCAUUCGUCGCUAGAGGAGUCAUCAGUAGCAUAAGGGUCACUGACAAUAAUACGAACUUUCCUUCCUCUCACGGACUUCUUCAUAUCUGAUUCAAACACUUCAAAAUCUCUUACCAAAAACUGCUGAAUCAGACAAGGGGCUUUGUCUCAGCGAACUAUGAAAAAGGGUAACCUUUGCCUCUUGUGAGUCCUGUACAAAUAAAAAGAAACCCAUAACCAGUUAGGCUUCUUCUUGUAGAUGGAGAGGAGACAAGAAAGGUCAUACCUUUUAGGUCUUACGCCCAUGGAAAGUGAUGGAACCUCCAGAACAAGCCUCUGCUUGGAGCAGAAGCGAAGAGAGUUAAGAACAGUGGUCAGAACAAAGAACAGAGCAGACGAGGUCGAAGAAGACGAUCGAGUAGGAGAGGAGACGUGAAACAGAGACGAAAUCAAAGCCGAUUCAGACACAGCCGACAUAAAUCUCCGACCUUUACUGAUUGUUCCUGUUCUUCAAUAAGACGCAGAACCCAGAAAGAUCAGUGACAAAGCAAACCCUUAAACCCUAGAAAGAAGUGUAAAAAAAAGGUUCUUGAUUUUCACUCUGUUUUGCAGAAAAAUCAGAUCUUUAGAGAGAGAGAAGAACGUAAACAACAGCGACAGUAGCGAAUCUAAGAGAAGACUUUGGUUUUGAUUAAUUAAACUAACGAGUUCCUGGGAGAGAUUGUGUAUGAAAAAAAAUUAAAGCUUUUUCACCUACCUUUGUGUGAGGCGUACUCUUGAGUUUUCUCUCAGGGAUAAAGCAGCUUUCAACCUCUGUUUAUAUUCUGUUAUUUUUUGAUUCACCUCUCCGAUUUUCUCUCUAGGUAUUUAUCUUCUGGUCAAAAGGAGCAAUUAUCUUUCUUUCUUUUUUUAUUACUAGACCCAUUCAAACAAAACGUAACAAUUUUGGAAGUAAAAUAUAUACUUCCUAUAUAAUUUCACAUUUUCUAAAAUAUGCGAGAGCAGAAUUUAUUAAAUUUCAUUCAAAUUAUGCAAUGUAUUUUUCUUUUAAAGAAAUCAUUUUAUUGAUUAAAAGUUAGAGGUUGAAAAUGAAAACAAACCCUCCAUAUGGAUACUUUAACUAUACUUUUUUUUGUCAAACGGAUACUUUAACUAUACAAAAUGGUAUAAAAUCUACUAUAUUUGUAAGGUUAACCCAAAAAUAAAUCUAUAUCUGCUUACAUUUUCAGAUAAGGAAUUCUAUUUGAGGGUUUUUAUUCUUAAAAAUAUUUUGUUAGCAUUCUUCUCUUGUAAAGAUCUACAUCCAACUAAGCUACAUAUGUUUGAUUACAUAAAUUGUUUUUUUUUUCUGACUGAAAUAAAUAUAUGAUACUCCAGUAGAAUAAAUACUGAGAUCUGGUAGACAAAUAUUCAAAAUGAGAAGAAAUUACAGCAUAAAUUAUCAUAUUUUUAUGUUCUCUUGAAUUAGUAAAAAUCUGAUAAAAGUAGUAUAUCAUCAAUGUAUAAGGGAUGUGCAAAUUGAUGGGCCCAUGACCAACCAUGCUUAAUAUCCCAUGCAUCUAUCAUGGCCCACCUAAAAUUCCAAUCGUCUCAGGGUACCCACUUGGCCACUUCUACCGUGUGAAUGUGAUACAUUUUCUCCCUUUUUUCUUUCUAAACCUCGUUUACCAAUGAAUUCAGGUGAAAAUAGUAAAGUGUCAAAUUGGGCCGGCCUGUCCCAAACAAAAGUUAUCUGUGGUAGAUUGGCCCGCAAAGUUCACGGGUAACUUGUAUAAAAAUAUAAGCCCUUGAUAAAUUUGUACGGUUAGCUUAAUGACAACGAAACACACAUUGAUUUUUCUUCUACGACUUCUAAAGUUUUGCUUGACGUCUUAAACAAAGCCAUAAACAAAGAGAAAAAAAAAAAAUUUGACCAAAAAAAAUUUGACAAGAAAAAAAAGAAAAAAAGAAAAAAAGAAAAAAAGAAGAAGAGAAAAGACACAUAGUAUUGAAUACUAAUGAAGUAAUGAUAAUACAACUAACUCACGAUUUCUGUCAUUAUGCAUAGGCCUCGGACAUUUAUCAGGAAAAUCGAUUAUGUACCUAAAAAUAUCGAUUAUGUGCCUAUAAAUAUCGAUUAUAUUUAGUUUCUAAAUAACCAACAUCUUAAGAAUAUUAUCUAUAAACCAAAAUACCAAAAAUCUGAAUUAUUUAAAUAUCUUUUAGAGAAAUACCCUAGGAUAUCAUUAAAAAAGUUUUUGUCACAAAUAUAGAAUUAAAGAUCAAAAUGACUAAAAUGUUUCAUUAAAUAGGUAAAUAUACACUUAUAAAUUAUAGCAAUAGAGUUAAAUAAUCCAAACUUUAAAGUUUAGAGUUAAGGGGUGGAGAUUUAUAAUUGAAGUUUAAAAUUUUAUAAAAUAAAAAAUAAAUAUUAAAAAUUUGAAAAGUAUUUUCGAAUUACAAAAAAAAAAUUCAAAAAUAAAACAAAAAAUAAUAUCAAAAAUAAAACAUUUUGGUCAUUUUCCUACUUAAGAUCUAUUUUUGUAACAAAAACUUGAAAAUUGUCUAUUUGGGAAAAUGGCUCUGUCUUUUGUCCAAAAUAUUUUAAAUUCUCCGAAUUACCUAAUAUUUUUAUCCGAACAACCGAAUCAUCCGAUAUUCAACCUGAAAAAACCUUGAAUUAUCUAACAUUUUUUAACCUAUAACAUUUGAAAUUACUCAAGAAAAUAAAAACCUAACCAGAAUUAAAUUAAACCCAAUUUUUUUUGCAUAUUAGCUAAUUUCCAACGUUACUACUCUAAACGAACCAAAAACUAACACAAUCAAAUCGAAACCUAAUCGGAUUUUGUAAAUAAUUUCUAAAUUUCUAAAUUUCUAAAUUUCUAGCACUAGAAAGCUGACAACUGAAAUAUCAAAACUGAACCGAAAAUCAAAAUAUUCAAACUGAACCGAAAACCGAACGCUCGUAUUUUUGUGUAGCAUCAAAUUCAGUGUUCAUGUAUAAGCAUGAUUGGACCAUUUUUUAUUUACGAUUUAUUUCACUUAAAUUAUUUUGCUUAUGAGGCCGAAAUUUGAUUAUUUUGCUAAAUAUAUUUUUGCACUCGAAUAAAAUAUGAGGCUGUCUGGUUGUGUAUGAUUGGACCAUAAAACAUGAUGCAUGCAAUGCAAUUUUAAAUUGAAAACCACAGAUCCAUUGAAUUGUUUAUCUUUAAAAAUUAAAAAAAUGAAGCCUGCAUACGAAUCGCAGCAAGAACCAUGAUACUUCUUCACCAGUCACAUUCAUAUAUCUUUAAUGGGAAGGUGGUAUCAGUCAUGAGAUCAGAAUCAAUGGGACGAUCAGUUCAAUUAUUUGUGCUGAUAUAAAAAGAACUUUUAAAACCGUUUUACUUUAUUUUUAUAAGGCCAAUAAAUCACUCAUCCCUGUGUUUAUGAAUCUGUGUGAUCUGCUCAGACAAGUCAAGAAACAUGGCUACCAAAUCAGACAUGUUCGGAGACCACACCAGAGAGUCGCUUCUCUCUCGAAAAGGCUGCUCAGACUUCGGCUUCAAUGACUCCGGCAUCAUCUCCGACGACCGUCGUUCUAAAUGGCGGUGUUUCCGGUUCUUCUCCGACGGGAUCGUCGCUUCCUGGAAAGCUCUCUACGACUUCGCCGCCAGUUUGUACGAGAUGGGUCGUUCCGAUCGCCGGAAAGUUUACUUCGCCGUGAAGAUGGGAGUGGCUCUCGCGCUCUGCUCUUUCGUCAUCUAUCUCAAGGAGCCGCUUCAUGACGCUAGCAAGUACGCUGUGUGGGCGAUUCUAACUGUCGUCGUCGUCUUUGAGUAUAGCAUAGGUACUGGAACUGACUUUCCUGGAACAAUUCUAGAUUCGAAUCGAUUAGAUUAGCUUCUGGGUUUGUUGUUGUUGCUCGAUUGAAUCUGAAAGUUUGUUCCUUUCUCAAUAAAUCAGCACCUGAGAUUGUUGUCUGAAGCAAUUUAAGAUCUGUCCUGGUUAAAGGGUUUAGAAUUAUUACAGUUCUAUCCACAUCUGUUGCUUGCUUGAUCUCUCUCUCAGAGAUCUCUGGUCUGAUGAUGUGUAACUCUUUUUUUUUUCGUGUAGGAGCAACAUUGGUAAAAGGAUUCAACAGAGCCAUAGGCACACUCUCUGCUGGUGGGCUUGCUCUUGGCAUAGCUAUUUUCCAUUUUUUAAUGCUGUAUGUUUACAUAUUUUUUACAAUUUUCGAAAAUAAUUAAUAUUAAAAUGUAAAACUAUAUUUUAUGCCACGUGUCAUCUUUCGGGAGAAAUUUUUUCCGCUGAUGUGGACGCCCUAUGGAGCCUCAAAAGCUCCCUUUUAUUAAUUUUCGAAAAUAAUUAAUAUUAAAAUGUAAAACUAUAUUUUAUGCCACGUGUCAUCGUUCGGGAGAAAUUUUUUCCGCUGAUGUGGACGCCCUAUGGAGCCUCAAAAGCUCCAUUUUAUUAGUAGAGUGAAAAAUAGUAAUCUUACAUAUGUUUAAUGUAGUUUUCCAUUUUUUAAUGCUGUAUGUUUACAUAUUUUUUACAAUUUUCGAAAAUAAUUAAUAUUAAAAUGUAAAACUAUAUUUUAUGCCACGUGUCAUCUUUUGGGAGAAAUUUUUUUCGCUAAUGUGUACGCUCUAUGGAGCCUCAAAAGCUCCAUUUUAUUAGUAGAGAUUUUUGUUAGCAAAGUCGUAAUCACCAAAUCAUGGGCCGGCGACUUCUUUAUGUUAUGUUGGGAUGUAUGGGCUUAUCAGUGCACUAACCUCAUGUGCUUAUUAUGUCUUACGUUCACUUGAGUUCUCGAAUUUAACCCGUCUACAUUCAGAUUCAAACCUUCUGAAACAAUUGUGCCAAUUUGUAAGUUUCUUUUAGAUAUCUAAUAUAUCCUAAAUAAAAUUAUUUGGUUGGCUGAGCAAAGAUAUCUUAUCUCCAACUCAUAAGUUAAAAAAAAAAUGAUGUACGAAUAUGGUUGACGACUUGACUUGUUGUUGGAAAUGCGUAGGAUCCAAAAAAAGUCAACCAGAAACAGAACUUGACUCUGAUUGUGAAUCCAGUAAUCAGAACAGAGGAACAGUAUUGAAUAAUAUUAAAAUGGGAGAGUACUUGGUAACUGGAGGGACAAGCUUUAUAGCCUCUCACGUUGUAAAGGCACUUCUUGACUUGGGCCAUUCCGUAAGAACAACUGUUAGAGACUCCUCAGGUACUUUCAGAUCUCUCAUUUAUGUUUUGCUGCUACGAGUUUUGUUUCUAACUAUUUUGUAAAGAUGAAGAGAAGGUUAGGUUUUUGUGGGAGUUAAAAGGAGCCAAAGAAAGGUUAAAGAUUUUCGAAGCCGAUCUAACAGUGGAGGGAAGCUUUGACGAGGCUGUCAAAGGUGUUGAUGGAGUCUUCCACAUUGCCUCUCGUGUUACUGUUUGUCUGGACAAAAAUGAUCUGGUCAAUUACAGUUUACUUUUGUUAGAAAAUAAUCUCAUUUUCUAUUUCAUAUCGAUCAAAGUAGUUGAAGUAUUGGAGAUAACUGAUGUUUUUUUUUCCCUCAGGAGAAGUUGGUCGAUCGAGAUAUAAAUGGAACAAGGAACUUGAUGAACUCUUGCGAAAAAUCAAGAAACACUGUGAAAAGGAUCGUUCUCACAUCUUCUUCAACCGCAGUCAGGUACCGCUAUGAUGCCACAGACGCCUCUCCACUUAACGAAUCGCAUUAUAGCGAUCUUGACUACUGCAGAAACUUCAAAGUGAGAAAACAUACCUCAUUUUUGUAUCAAUUUCACCCAUCCUCAUGGCUCAUACAUUGUUGUCUGAAAAAUGUAUGUAGAUUUGGUAUGGUUAUGCAAAGACAUUAGGAGAGAAAGAAGCUUGGACUAUCGCAGCCGAGAAGAAUCUAGAUCUAGUGGUUGUAAUCCCUUCGUUUUGUAUCGGUCCAAUACUUAGUCCAGAACCCACAAGCUCCCCUCUCAUUCUCCUCUCCAUAAUCAAAGGUUAGGGAUAGUCUUUUCAUUUUGACUAUUACAUUUUAAAUUUCUGUAACGCACCUCAACUUUCUUGUUUUGACUAGGUGUUCGGGGAGAUUAUCCGAAUGUCACGGGAGGGUUUGUGCACAUAGAAGAUGUAGUUGCUGCACAAAUCUUAGCAAUGGAAGAGCCUAAAGCAUCAGGAAGAUUCAUAUGUUCGAGUUCAGUGGCUCACUGGUCAGAGAUCAUUGAGAUGCUAAGACCUAAAUACCCGUUAUACCCAUUUGAGACCAAGUAGUUACUUUACUCCCAAUCUAUAUUUGACACUUUUAUGUCAUGUUUUUUGAUGUUUUGCACAAAUAAAACUGUCACAGGUGCAGUAGUGAAGAAGGGAAAGAUAUGCCUCAUAGCUUGGACACAACAAAGAUACGUGAACUUGGCUUACCGCCAUUCAAGUCUUUAGCUGAGAUGUUUGAUGACUGCAUCAAGUGCUUCCAAGACAAGGGUCUACUCUGAAACUCCUACUGUUAUCAGAAAAUCAAAGUGAUCUUAGCUUAGUAGUUUGGUCUUGUUUUAAGUUUAUUUUAAACACCAAUAAUCUAGCCUAUCUUAUGAUUCCCCACUAUGUCGUUCCCAUCUUCUUGGAGUUUAGCAUAAAUCGACUGAUAGUGUCACACGUGCUUGCUUGUGACAUGGGUCUGUCUGUACAAAGAAGGGUGCAAGAGCACGUGUACACAAAAAGUAGUGGAUAAUGCCCACUUUUGAGCCUCCAAAAGCAUAAACGCAUGCGAUAACGUUUGUAGACUCUACAAAGAGGAAGGUAGGAACCUAAGAGACGCAGAAGGCGAGACCAACAAAGAACAACUACACAUAAUGCAUCACAGAUUUAACAUAAGAGACUGAAGAAGGUAAAGCCAACAUCCAAAACUCCUGCAAAAACCCUCUUUAGAAGGAUCUAAAAGCACAAGGAGAUUACACAUGCUACAUUCUUAUUCAUGUUCUUUUGAAAUAGCAAACUAAACCUUAAACGAAACGACUAAUUAUUGGAAUACAGUGAAUCAGAUAAGCUGAAAAACUUCAGGGGCAAGCGAUGUUGAGAGGAGGCGCUGCAAAGGCAAACUUCAUAUCAUCAUGCUCAAGUUCCACAUCUGUGAAGUCACAGUCAGGUAGCUCACUUGGUAAGCUGACGUUAUUAACAUUAUCAACCACAGAGAAAUCAUCAAACAGAUGAUCAUAGUCCUCGUCCUUGAAAAAAUAAUCAAAGUCCAUCUCCCCAGCAGCCUUUGCGCCAGACUUCUCUUCUGCUGCUAAGAAGCUCAGAUCAGGGAUCUCCAGCUCAGAAAGGUCGAAACCUUCCUUGGUCAAAUCACCAGAAGCAGCAACAUCUUUCCUCAGAGACACCUUUUCUUUAGAAGCAGCAGAACGCAAGCACUGGCUGUUCGCUGACGCAACCGACGCAUCAAACUCAACCUUCUUGUCAGCAUAAGCCUUCCCAGCUUCUUCAAGGGUUGCAUAAGUACCCAACCACACCUUAGUUUUGGUAAGUGGGUUUCUAAUCUCAGCAGCCCAUUUGCCUGAUUGCCUCAGCCUAACUCCCACUGGCUUGUUAACUUGCAUACGUCUAGAGUUUUUGUGAUACUGAGAACUCUCAGAGAGCAGAAAGGGGAGGUUAAUCUCAUGGACAAUGCGCUUCACCUUAGGAGGCUUACACUCGAACCAUUCGUCGCUAGAGGAGUCAUCAGUAGCAUAAGGGUCACUGACAAUAAUACGAACUUUCCUUCCUCUCACGGACUUCUUCAUAUCUGAUUCAAACACUUCAAAAUCUCUUACCAAAAACUGCUGAAUCAGACAAGGGGCUUUGUCUCAGCGAACUAUGAAAAAGGGUAACCUUUGCCUCUUGUGAGUCCUGUACAAAUAAAAAGAAACCCAUAACCAGUUAGGCUUCUUCUUGUAGAUGGAGAGGAGACAAGAAAGGUCAUACCUUUUAGGUCUUACGCCCAUGGAAAGUGAUGGAACCUCCAGAACAAGCCUCUGCUUGGAGCAGAAGCGAAGAGAGUUAAGAACAGUGGUCAGAACAAAGAACAGAGCAGACGAGGUCGAAGAAGACGAUCGAGUAGGAGAGGAGACGUGAAACNNNNNNNNNNNNNNNNNNNNNNNNNNNNNNNNNNNNNNNNNNNNNNNNNNNNNNNNNNNNNNNNNNNNNNNNNNNNNNNNNNNNNNNNNNNNNNNNNNNNNNNNNNNNNNNNNNNNNNNNNNNNNNNNNNNNNNNNNNNNNNNNNNNNNNNNNNNNNNNNNNNNNNNNNNNNNNNNNNNNNNNNNNNNNNNNNNNNNNNNNNNNNNNNNNNNNNNNNNNNNNNNNNNNNNNNNNNNNNNNNNNNNNNNNNNNNNNNNNNNNNNNNNNNNNNNNNNNNNNNNNNNNNNNNNNNNNNNNNNNNNNNNNNNNNNNNNNNNNNNNNNNNNNNNNNNNNNNNNNNNNNNNNNNNNNNNNNNNNNNNNNNNNNNNNNNNNNNNNNNNNNNNNNNNNNNNNNNNNNNNNNNNNNNNNNNNNNNNNNNNNNNNNNNNNNNNNNNNNNNNNNNNNNNNNNNNNNNNNNNNNNNNNNNNNNNNNNNNNNNNNNNNNNNNNNNNNNNNNNNNNNNNNNNNNNNNNNNNNNNNNNNNNNNNNNNNNNNNNNNNNNNNNNNNNNNNNNNNNNNNNUUUUCCAUUUUUUAAUGCUGUAUGUUUACAUAUUUUUUACAAUUUUCGAAAAUAAUUAAUAUUAAAAUGUAAAACUAUAUUUUAUGCCACGUGUCAUCUUUCGGGAGAAAUUUUUUCCGCUGAUGUGGACGCCCUAUGGAGCCUCAAAAGCUCCCUUUUAUUAAUUUUCGAAAAUAAUUAAUAUUAAAAUGUAAAACUAUAUUUUAUGCCACGUGUCAUCGUUCGGGAGAAAUUUUUUCCGCUGAUGUGGACGCCCUAUGGAGCCUCAAAAGCUCCAUUUUAUUAGUAGAGUGAAAAAUAGUAAUCUUACAUAUGUUUAAUGUAGUUUUCCAUUUUUUAAUGCUGUAUGUUUACAUAUUUUUUACAAUUUUCGAAAAUAAUUAAUAUUAAAAUGUAAAACUAUAUUUUAUGCCACGUGUCAUCUUUUGGGAGAAAUUUUUUUCGCUAAUGUGUACGCUCUAUGGAGCCUCAAAAGCUCCAUUUUAUUAGUAGAGAUUUUUGUUAGCAAAGUCGUAAUCACCAAAUCAUGGGCCGGCGACUUCUUUAUGUUAUGUUGGGAUGUAUGGGCUUAUCAGUGCACUAACCUCAUGUGCUUAUUAUGUCUUACGUUCACUUGAGUUCUCGAAUUUAACCCGUCUACAUUCAGAUUCAAACCUUCUGAAACAAUUGUGCCAAUUUGUAAGUUUCUUUUAGAUAUCUAAUAUAUCCUAAAUAAAAUUAUUUGGUUGGCUGAGCAAAGAUAUCUUAUCUCCAACUCAUAAGUUAAAAAAAAAAUGAUGUACGAAUAUGGUUGACGACUUGACUUGUUGUUGGAAAUGCGUAGGAUCCAAAAAAAGUCAACCAGAAACAGAACUUGACUCUGAUUGUGAAUCCAGUAAUCAGAACAGAGGAACAGUAUUGAAUAAUAUUAAAAUGGGAGAGUACUUGGUAACUGGAGGGACAAGCUUUAUAGCCUCUCACGUUGUAAAGGCACUUCUUGACUUGGGCCAUUCCGUAAGAACAACUGUUAGAGACUCCUCAGGUACUUUCAGAUCUCUCAUUUAUGUUUUGCUGCUACGAGUUUUGUUUCUAACUAUUUUGUAAAGAUGAAGAGAAGGUUAGGUUUUUGUGGGAGUUAAAAGGAGCCAAAGAAAGGUUAAAGAUUUUCGAAGCCGAUCUAACAGUGGAGGGAAGCUUUGACGAGGCUGUCAAAGGUGUUGAUGGAGUCUUCCACAUUGCCUCUCGUGUUACUGUUUGUCUGGACAAAAAUGAUCUGGUCAAUUACAGUUUACUUUUGUUAGAAAAUAAUCUCAUUUUCUAUUUCAUAUCGAUCAAAGUAGUUGAAGUAUUGGAGAUAACUGAUGUUUUUUUUUCCCUCAGGAGAAGUUGGUCGAUCGAGAUAUAAAUGGAACAAGGAACUUGAUGAACUCUUGCGAAAAAUCAAGAAACACUGUGAAAAGGAUCGUUCUCACAUCUUCUUCAACCGCAGUCAGGUACCGCUAUGAUGCCACAGACGCCUCUCCACUUAACGAAUCGCAUUAUAGCGAUCUUGACUACUGCAGAAACUUCAAAGUGAGAAAACAUACCUCAUUUUUGUAUCAAUUUCACCCAUCCUCAUGGCUCAUACAUUGUUGUCUGAAAAAUGUAUGUAGAUUUGGUAUGGUUAUGCAAAGACAUUAGGAGAGAAAGAAGCUUGGACUAUCGCAGCCGAGAAGAAUCUAGAUCUAGUGGUUGUAAUCCCUUCGUUUUGUAUCGGUCCAAUACUUAGUCCAGAACCCACAAGCUCCCCUCUCAUUCUCCUCUCCAUAAUCAAAGGUUAGGGAUAGUCUUUUCAUUUUGACUAUUACAUUUUAAAUUUCUGUAACGCACCUCAACUUUCUUGUUUUGACUAGGUGUUCGGGGAGAUUAUCCGAAUGUCACGGGAGGGUUUGUGCACAUAGAAGAUGUAGUUGCUGCACAAAUCUUAGCAAUGGAAGAGCCUAAAGCAUCAGGAAGAUUCAUAUGUUCGAGUUCAGUGGCUCACUGGUCAGAGAUCAUUGAGAUGCUAAGACCUAAAUACCCGUUAUACCCAUUUGAGACCAAGUAGUUACUUUACUCCCAAUCUAUAUUUGACACUUUUAUGUCAUGUUUUUUGAUGUUUUGCACAAAUAAAACUGUCACAGGUGCAGUAGUGAAGAAGGGAAAGAUAUGCCUCAUAGCUUGGACACAACAAAGAUACGUGAACUUGGCUUACCGCCAUUCAAGUCUUUAGCUGAGAUGUUUGAUGACUGCAUCAAGUGCUUCCAAGACAAGGGUCUACUCUGAAACUCCUACUGUUAUCAGAAAAUCAAAGUGAUCUUAGCUUAGUAGUUUGGUCUUGUUUUAAGUUUAUUUUAAACACCAAUAAUCUAGCCUAUCUUAUGAUUCCCCACUAUGUCGUUCCCAUCUUCUUGGAGUUUAGCAUAAAUCGACUGAUAGUGUCACACGUGCUUGCUUGUGACAUGGGUCUGUCUGUACAAAGAAGGGUGCAAGAGCACGUGUACACAAAAAGUAGUGGAUAAUGCCCACUUUUGAGCCUCCAAAAGCAUAAACGCAUGCGAUAACGUUUGUAGACUCUACAAAGAGGAAGGUAGGAACCUAAGAGACGCAGAAGGCGAGACCAACAAAGAACAACUACACAUAAUGCAUCACAGAUUUAACAUAAGAGACUGAAGAAGGUAAAGCCAACAUCCAAAACUCCUGCAAAAACCCUCUUUAGAAGGAUCUAAAAGCACAAGGAGAUUACACAUGCUACAUUCUUAUUCAUGUUCUUUUGAAAUAGCAAACUAAACCUUAAACGAAACGACUAAUUAUUGGAAUACAGUGAAUCAGAUAAGCUGAAAAACUUCAGGGGCAAGCGAUGUUGAGAGGAGGCGCUGCAAAGGCAAACUUCAUAUCAUCAUGCUCAAGUUCCACAUCUGUGAAGUCACAGUCAGGUAGCUCACUUGGUAAGCUGACGUUAUUAACAUUAUCAACCACAGAGAAAUCAUCAAACAGAUGAUCAUAGUCCUCGUCCUUGAAAAAAUAAUCAAAGUCCAUCUCCCCAGCAGCCUUUGCGCCAGACUUCUCUUCUGCUGCUAAGAAGCUCAGAUCAGGGAUCUCCAGCUCAGAAAGGUCGAAACCUUCCUUGGUCAAAUCACCAGAAGCAGCAACAUCUUUCCUCAG